UGGGGAAUUUUGCACAAUGGGGGAAACCCUGAUGCAGCGACGCCGCGUGAUUUAGAAGGCCUUCGGGUUGUAAAAAUCUUUUCUAUGGGAAGAAAAUGACAGUAUCAUAGGAAUAAGGACCGGCUAAUUACGUGCCAGCAGCCGCGGUAUUACGUAAGGCCCGAGCGUUGUCCGGAAUCAUUGGGCGUAAAGGGUACGUAGGCGGGUAAGCAAGUUAGAAGUUAAAUCCUAUAGCUCAACUAUAGUAAGCUUUUAAAACUGCUCAUCUUGAGGUAUGGAAGGGAAAGUGGAAUUCCUAGUGUAGCGGUGAAAUGCGCAGAUAUUAGGAGGAAUACCGGUGGCGAAGGCGACUUUCUGGCCAUAACCUGACGCUGAGGUACGAAAGCGUGGGUAGCAAACAGG
rnacentral:rRNA from 1 species